GACGAACGCUGGCGGCGUGCCUAAUACAUGCAAGUAGAACGCUGAAGAGAGGAGCUUGCUCUUCUUGGAUGAGUUGCGAACGGGUGAGUAACGCGUAGGUAACCUGCCUUGUAGCGGGGGAUAACUAUUGGAAACGAUAGCUAAUACCGCAUAACAAUGGAUGACACAUGUCAUUUAUUUGAAAGGGGCAAUUGCUCCACUACAAGAUGGACCUGCGUUGUAUUAGCUAGUAGGUGAGGUAAUGGCUCACCUAGGCGACGAUACAUAGCCGACCUGAGAGGGUGAUCGGCCACACUGGGACUGAGACACGGCCCAGACUCCUACGGGAGGCAGCAGUAGGGAAUCUUCGGCAAUGGGGGCAACCCUGACCGAGCAACGCCGCGUGAGUGAAGAAGGUUUUUGGAUCGUAAAGCUCUGUUGUAAGUCAAGAACGGGUGUGAGAGUGGAAAGUUCACACUGUGACGGUAGCUUACCAGAAAGGGACGGCUAACUACGUG
rnacentral:rRNA from 1 species